AUUGAACGCUGGCGGCAGGCCUAACACAUGCAAGUCGAACGAGUGGCGGACGGGUGUGUAAUGUCUGGGAAACUGCCUGAUGGAGGGGGAUAACUACUGGAAACGGUAGCUAAUACCGCAUACCAUCAGAUGUGCCCAGAUGGGAUUAGCUUGUUGGUGGGGUAACGGCUCACCAAGGCGACGAUCCCUAGCUGGUCUGAGAGGAUGACCAGUCACACUGGGACUGAGACACGGUCCAAACUCCUACGGGAUGCAGCAGUGGGGAAUAUUGCACAAUGGGCGCCAGCCUGAUUCAGCCAUGCCGCGUGUGUGAAGAAGGCCUUCGGGUUGUUAAAUACUUUCAGCAGGGAGGCGUUACCCGCAUAAGUAGCACCGGCUAACUCCUUGCCAGCAGGCCCGGUAAUUC
rnacentral:rRNA from 1 species